rnacentral:rRNA from 1 species
GACGAACGCUGGCGGCGUGCUUAACACAUGCAAGUCGAACGGAAAGGCCCUGCUUUUGUGGGUUGCUCGAGUGGCGAACGGGUGAGUAACACGUGAGUAACCUGCCCUUGACUUUGGGAUAACUUCAGGAAACUGGGGCUAAUACCGGAUAGGAGCUCCUGCUGCAUGGUGGGGGUUGGAAAGUUUCGGCGGUUGGGGAUGGACUCGCGGCUUAUCAGAUUGUUGGUGGGGUAGUGGCUUACCAAGGCUUUGACGGGUAGCCGGCCUGAGAGGGUGAGCGGCCACAUUGGGACUGAGAUACGGCCCAGACUCCUACGGGAGGCAGCAGUGGGGAAUAUUGCACAAUGGGCGGAAGCCUGAUGUAGAAACGCCGCGUGCGGGAUGACGGCCUUCGGGUUGUAAAACGCUUUCGCCUGUGACGAAGCGUGAGUGACGGUAAUGGGUAAAGAAGCACCGGCUAACUACGUG